CCCUGCAUUCGUAAGUGAUCAGGGGGUGCCCAUUCCCUGGUCAUUGGUAUUGCAGGCAGAGGAAAUACGGAAAGAAUUGUCCUGUGUUUGGAGGGUCUGCGUGCUUGCCUUCCAGUGCUAGGAGCUUUCCCACA
ensembl:snoRNA SNORA71 Small nucleolar RNA SNORA71